CUCUCCAUCUCCAUUCACUCUAAUAAAUAAAAAAUCCGUUCUCUCCGUAGUUUGCGACUGUUAUUGCGGAGAAGAAGAAAAAAAAACUUGUUCCACCUCCCGCCGCCUCGUCGCACCCCGGAUCUCCCUCCACAGGCGGCGGAUCCUCGUCGCCGUCGGUGGGCAUCCUCACCACCGACCGAUCCGGUCCCGUGCUUCUAGGCAGGUCUGUCCCACGCCGUCCUCAACGAUGCCUCCCCGCCGCAGCUCCUCCGCCGGACACAGUUCAGCGGAGUCCAGCAAGGCGUCACAAUCAAGUGGAAGUGAAUCUACUGGUGCCAGGAAAAAACAGCAUGGUCCGAUUUCCAUUCCCUACACCCUCCAUCGAGGUUAUCUAGACCGGUCAACCAGAUUGGGCUCUUCGUUUCUGGAGAUGCCUUCUGGUCAGGAGAAUAUCAAACUGAAUAAAGAGAAUUAUCCACAGCUUGUCCUCGUUAUAAAAGAUAAAGAUGAUAAUCAAAGAGAGUGUCUAAAGAUAAUGAAGAACUUAACUCACGAGAAUGUACUUGGAGUGUAUUUCUGGGAAGAGGUUGAAAAUGAACCGUAUAUCCUAGUUCAUGUGGAGCCUUACACAGAAUCGGUUUCGAAGAUCGUUGCCAAUGCUAAAUUUCUUGUUGAGCGAAUGACAGAAUUGGUUCCAUCUCCAGCCUUUCAAGAAACAGUGAGUGCAAUGAUUGCUGCCUUGAACUAUAUUAUAGAGAGUGGUUACUACCAUGGGAAUUUAUCAUGGCAGACGACUUUGUACCAUCAGAUCGCUAAUAAAAGAGUAGUCAAAUUGGCGAACUUCGAAUGAAAAGGUCGUUCUUUGGAGCAAUGCCAGUUGGAAGAUUAUAUCUCUCUGGGAGCCUCUCUUGAGUGGGCAUCUCAAAAGGUGAAGAAGGAGUAUGAUGCUUGUCAGUCACACACUUGCUGCAUAAUAGAUGACCUCGCAAAGAUUUUGAAAUCUGUUACUGUGAAAUCUCUGCAGACAAUGAAACUUCAGCUCAAAGAUCAUGAGUUCUUUUGGGACAGCAAUAUGAAGAAGAUUUUCUUUGCCUAUGAUGUCCCCCAAAUCUUCAAGAAUGAUGCAGUUAAGCAAAAAUUUCAGGAAUCUUCAUCUAUGCCGUCAUUACCAUGGACGACAUCAUGGAAACCUGGUGUGAUACCUGAUGAGCUUAUGAAACAUAUGUUGAUUUACCGCGGAGAGCAUGGACUUGCACCAUACGAUGCAUACAAUGUGGAAGAGUUUCUAAGAUUCAUUAGUGGGAUGUAUUCUCAUGAGAAUGAACUCAGGCAGAAGAUUCCUGGCCUCGUUCUUGAUGCUGUAGUUCAGGAGAUGUAUCCGUGUUUGUGGUAUGAUUUAAAAAAAGCCAUGCGAGAUGCCAAGGAAGAAGCUGAUAAUGCCAUGGCAGUGGACAAUUAAUGAGAAAAAGUAGCGGUGUCUCACUCCCUCCCAGGGUGCCAAGCCGCGUCUCUACCAGCCCGCGGGAGGAAAGGCCCCUGCCCUGCCCUGCCUUGCCUUAGGAUGCCGCAGUCUUUAACUUAGUUGCUGUCUAAUUUAGUUAGUUCAUCUCUGCGGGCCAACUGUGUUGAGUCAUGGAACCAGAAGAUGGUAUGGACCAGUCCGUCCUUGCUGGUUUGCCAAAGGAUCUCUAUCUAUCUAUGUUGAACUCUGUUGCUCUCUGAAGUUUAGGCAGUGUGUGUCGUCUGAAACAAGUGUACGAAAUUCAUGCUCUCCGUGCUAUGUGAAUGCCGCACUGAUUCAGAAGUC